rnacentral:rRNA from 1 species
AUUGAACGCUGGCGGCAGGCCUAACACAUGCAAGUCGAACGAGUGGCGGACGGGUGAGUAAUGUCUGGGAAACUGCCCGAUGGAGGGGGAUAACUACUGGAAACGGUAGCUAAUACCGCAUACCAUCGGAUGUGCCCCGUUGGGAUUAGCUAGUAGGGGGUGUAACGGCUCACCUAGGCGACGAACCCUAGCUGGUCUGAGAGGAUGACACGCCACAUUGGAACUGAGACACGGUCCAGACUCCUACGGGAGGCAGCAGUGGGGAAUAUUGCACAAUGGGCGCAAGCCUGAUGCAGUCAUGCCGCGUGUAUGAAGAAGUCCGUCGGGUUGUAAAGUACUGUCAGCGAGGAGGCGUUACCCGCAGAAGAAGCACCGGCUAACUCCGUGCCAGCAGCCGCGGUAAUUC